rnacentral:rRNA from 1 species
UGUUGUCGAAGGCUUGGACUUGGAGGCCGUGCCGGCUCUAGUAGUCGGCUCCUCUGAAAUGCAUCAGUGCGAACGUUACCAGCCGCUUCAGCGUGAUAAUUAUCUGCGUUGCUGUGGGGGGUAUGUCAGUGUUCGUGCUUCGAACCGUCUCCGGACAACAUUUCAUCUCUGAGCUCAAAUCAGGUAGGACUACCCGCUGAACUUAAGCAUAUCAAUAAGCGGAGGAAAAGAAACUAACAAGGAUUCCCCUAGUAACUGCGAGUGAAGCGGGAAAAGCUCAAAUUUAAAAUCUGGCGGUCUUUGGCCGUCCGAGUUGUAAUCUGGAGAAGCGUCUUCCGCGC